rnacentral:rRNA from 1 species
UACGGAGGGUGCGAGCGUUGUCCGGAAUCAUUGGGCGUAAAGGGCGCGUAGGUGGCCCGGUCAGUUCGUGGUGAAAGCGCGGGGCUCAACCCUGCGUCGGCCAUGAAUACUGCCGCGGCUGGAGCACUGUAGAGGCAGGCGGAAUUCCGGGUGUAGCGGUGGAAUGCGUAGAGAUCCGGAAGAACACCGGUGGCGAAGGCGGCCUGCUGGGCAGUGGCUGACGCUGAGGCGCGACAGCGUGGGGAGCAAACAGGAUUAGAAACCCCGGGU